rnacentral:rRNA from 1 species
UACGGGAGGCAGCAGUGAGGAAUAUUGGUCAAUGGACGAGAGUCUGAACCAGCCAAGUAGCGUGAAGGAUGAAGGUCCUACGGAUUGUAAACUUCUUUUAUAAGGGAAUAAAACCUCCCACGUGUGGGAGCUUGUAUGUACCUUAUGAAUAAGCAUCGGCUAACUCCGUGCCAGCAGCCGCGGUAAUACGGAGGAUGCGAGCGUUAUCCGGAUUUAUUGGGUUUAAAGGGAGCGCAGACGGGUCGUUAAGUCAGCUGUGAAAGUUUGGGGCUCAACCUUAAAAUUGCAGUUGAUACUGGCGUCCUUGAGUGCGGUUGAGGUGUGCGGAAUUCGUGGUGUAGCGGUGAAAUGCUUAGAUAUCACGAAGAACUCCGACUGCGAAGGCAGCACACUAAGCCGUAACUGACGUUCAUGCUCGAAAGUGUGGGUAUCAAACAGGAUUAGAUACCCUGGUAGUCCACACGGUAAACGAUGGAUACUCGCUGUUGGCGAUAUACAGUCAGCGGCUUAGCGAAAGCGUUAAGUAUCCC